ensembl:lncRNA novel transcript
UAGGCUCUAUAAAGAAUUGGCAUGGGAGAUGGGUUUUGAAGAGUUCCAUUUGUAUCUGAGGCCUGUUCACUUUGAAUUUGCAUCACACGGGGACAGGGCAGACCAGCCACCUCCUGUGUUUAUAACCUCUCUGCUGGAGGACAGUGGUCGGGUAGACAGAUAUUCUCCUACUGCUCUUGUCUUAGCCAUCUCUGAGGUGGAUGAUAACCAAAUUGGCAAAUUUAGUUUUUACACAAAGGAAGCCAUUCUUAAGCUUUUGCUGCAUUCAGGAGUGGAAAAUAUGCAGGUGACUCUUGCAUGCCAAGCUGCUCAGAAAAAUGCUUUGAUGGCGGCUGUCCAGCAGGUGUACUUCUAUUGCACCCCUCAAGGGAGCUGUCCUGCUAAUGUCAAGGAAAUAAGUUCAGAUCUGAGAAAUCAUGGUGGAAUGGGCCCAACCAGAAGAAGAUAUUCCAGAAUUGUGAAUGGCAUAGACAGCUCGCUGAUAGCCCCAACUCCAAAAGUCCCAGAUACACUUACUCAUUCUCCAGAAAGAUUUCAGGCUACCAAAAG